rnacentral:rRNA from 1 species
UACGGAGGAUGCGAGCGUUAUCCGGAUUUAUUGGGCUUAAAGGGUGCGUAGGCGGACGCUUAAGUCAGCGGUAAAAUUGCGGGGCUCAACCUCGUCGAGCCGUUGAAACUGGGUGUCUUGAGUGGGCGAGAAGUACGCGGAAUGCGUGGUGUAGCGGUGAAAUGCAUAGAUAUCACGCAGAACUCCGAUUGCGAAGGCAGCGUACCGGCGCCCAACUGACGCUGAAGCACGAAGGCGUGGGUAUCGAACAGG